rnacentral:hammerhead_ribozyme from 1 species
GCACUGCUGAGGAGUCCUAAAGUAGGACGAAACGGUCGUCCAGUGC